UACGGAGGAUCCAAGCGUCAUCCGGAUUUAUUGGGUUUAAAGGGUGCGUAGGUGGAAAUAUAGGUCAGAGGUGAAAGCUAGCAGCUUAACUGUUAAAUUGCCUUUGAUACUGUUUUUCUUGAGUAUAGUUGGAGUUGGCGGAAUGUGACAUGUAGCGGUGAAAUGCGUAGAUAUGUCACAGAACACCGAUCGCGAAGGCAGCUAACUAAACUAUCACUGACACUGAUGCACGAAAGCGUGGGGAGCAAACAGG
rnacentral:rRNA from 1 species